UAUUUAGAAAACACAGAAAGCAAAGUAGAUGCAAAAUUCAGUGAGUCCACGGAAGCUGAGAGUGAGUCGACGUCAUCUGUGGUCAUAACAAAAAAAGAAAAAAACAAAAAGAAGAAAACAAAAGCAGAUACCAAAAUAGUAAAACCAAAAGAAAAAACCAAGGAAAGUGUUGAAACAAAUGCAGAUAAAAAAAAGAAUAAAAAUAAAGUAAUACCAACAAAAAAAGAAGAAGUGGAAAAGGAAGACUCCGACUCUAAUUCCGACUCUAACUCCGACUCUAACUCCGACUCUAACUCCGACUCAGACUCCGAUUCUGACAAAGAAGAAGAAAAAAAAGUGAAUGCAGAAAAAGAGACAGCCCCAAAAGACGACUCUGAUAGUGAAACUGAUUCAAACUCCGAUUCUGAACAAGAAGAAGAAGAAGAAGAAGAAGAAGAAGAAGAAGAAGAAGUAGAUGCAAAAAAGGAGACAGUUAAAAAAGACGAUUCUGAUUCUAGCUCAGAUUCAAACUCAGACUCAGACUCUGAUUCUGACAAAGAAGAAGAAAAAAAAGUGGAUGCAGAAAAAAAGAUAGUCCCAAAAGACGACUCUGAUAGUGAAACUGAUUCAAACUCCGAUUCUAGCUCAGACUCUGACUCUGACUCUGACUCAGAAAAAGAAGAAGAAAAAGAAGAAGAAGAAGAAGAAACCAAAGCAACAAAAUCAUUAAACAAAAAUAAAAAAAGACCAAAUGAAAAUUUUACUGAUAAAGAAAAACAGAAAAAGGCAAAAGUAGAAAACGUACAACAAAAUGGUAUUGCUAAAAAUCAAAAACAAAAUGGUGUCGAUUUUAAAAAUGAAGAGUAUAUAGUUGUUAUUAAGAAUGUCAGUGCAGACACAACAGAAGAAGAAGUAAGGGAAUAUGUAAAGAAAAUUUUAGGUAGUGCUUAUGAUGAUAAUUCAAUAUCUAUAUUCGUAUAUGGUUUUGAAUGUUGUGUUUUUGUAAUUUUUAAAAAUAAAGAUAUGAUGUAUAGUUUUUUUAAUUCUAAUGAUAGAAUAUUUAAAAAUUUAACUGUUAAUUUUGUAAAAGUUGAAAAUGUAGGAACAAAUAUAAUUGUUAAGAGGGUAAGUGAAAAUACAUCAGAACAAGACAUAAAAUUUUUUUUUAAAAAAUACGGAACUAUAAAACAUAUAGAUUUUGAUCGAAAAUUUAAUUCAUUUAGAGUUUAUUAUGAUUCUGCAUAUAGUUGUAUUAAAUCCUUAGAAGCUGUUAAUACUUUGUUUAAAGGAAAUUAUAUAUAUAUAAAAUAUACAUGGAGUGCAAACGCAGAACAUCAUUUUAUGAACUCGAAUAACACCCCCAAUGGUUUUAAAAAAGAUUUUAAUAAAUUUAAAAAUAGAAAUAAUAAUGGAAGACCAUUUAAUAAGGAUGACAGAGGAAGGAAAAACUUUAAUUUUAAAAAAAAUUAUAAUAAUGAUGGUGAUUCUACUAAUCCUAAUAGCAUAGUUGUUGAUAAUAGUAAUCAUUGGAAAAAUCGAAGCAACGAAGGAUUUAAUAAUGACAGAAAAAAUGGUAAACCAUUUAAUAAAAAACCAUUUAAUCGAAAGUUUAAUAAAAGUAAUUGAUUUCAACAUGUGCGCAGUAGUGUAGUUGUAGUGGUAGUUGCAAUUACGUGAUAUUACACGUUUCAGUGCGUUUAAAAAGCAUGAACGUGUAGACGCAUGUGCGGUGGGAUUACAUGUAUAUAUAUAUAUAUAUAUAU
rnacentral:lncRNA from 1 species